CUGCUCUGUUCUGCCCAGUUCUGUGAAAUGACACACUAGAACUGAAGAAGCCCAAGCACCUCUUAAGAAGACACUCCUUGUUUGGGUUUGGUUGUGUAUAUGGUGUAAGAACUUUUGUAGCAGAACUCCAGAGAAUGGGAUCCAGGUGCUAUUAACCUUUUUAGGGGAUUCAAGAUUAUAAAAAUCAGCUGGGAAAGGGUUAGAAUUUUCUGCCCAAAGCACUUAAGCACUUCCGCUUUUAUGUUUCAAAGUCUGCCCAGCCACAGAGGCUCUGCCUUUGGGUUCUAGUCCCAUGGUUUCCCUCUCUGGGCACCAGCUGAAACAUGCAGUGGUUUCCACCUCAGUCACAGGCACAUCUUCUUUUUUGGAGACAGUCAGAAAAGGGAUGGAUCAGCCAGGUUCUUCCCUACUUUGGAGUUCACAUGCAGCCUCCUCUUUCUCUCCUCUUUGCUCCCAGAAAGGGCAGGGAAUAUUUCUGGCUGUUGCAGAACAUCAUAAGGCUUUCACACAUCACUUCCAACACAUUCCUCGCCUGCGUUCAUCCAGGAAGAAUCUGCUGCGUUUGAUUUCUGUCUCAGGUCACUCAUCUCACAGCUAUGUGCCAGAAACUGUGUUUCACUUUGUAAACCAUGCCAGAGGAACGUCUGCAACUGCCAAGACAAUGAUGGGGAAUGUCUGCAUCAAAACUGUCCGUGGCAGUUCUUCAAAUAUAUUGGUGAGGCUUGAAAUUUAA
rnacentral:lncRNA from 1 species